rnacentral:rRNA from 1 species
GAAUCUCCAAAAAUUAGUCCCAGUUCAGAUUGCAGGCUGCAACUCGCCUGCAUGAAGUCGGAAUUGCUAGUAAUCGUGGAUCAGCAUGCCACGGUGAAUACGUUCCCGGGCCUUGUACACACCGCCCGUCACACCAUGGGAGUCGGUAACACCCGAAGCCUGUAGUCUAACCGCAAGGAGGACGCAGUCGAAGGUGGGAUUGAUGACUGGGGUGAAGUCGUAACAAGGUAAC